AUAGCAAUACCUGGCUUUUUUUGAGUCUGGUAACUGGAAUGAGUACAACCCAAAUCUCUUAACAAGGAUCCAUUGGAGGGCAAGUCCGGUGCCAGCAACUGCGUAUAUUUAA
rnacentral:rRNA from 1 species